AGAGCCUACUCUCAAGAGGAAAUCACUCAAGGUUUUGAAGAGACAGGGGACACGCUCUAUGCCCCCUAUUCCACACAUUUUCAGCUGCAGAACCAGCCUCCCCAAAAGGAAUUCUCCAUCCCACGGGCCCACGCUUGGCCGAGCCCUUACAAAGACUAUGAAGUAAAGAAAGAGGGCAGCUAACUCUGUCCUGAAGAGUGGGACAAAUGCAGCCGGGCGGCAGAUCUAGCGGGAGCUCAAAGGGAUGUGGGCGAAAUCUUGAGUCUUCUGAGAAAACUGUACAAGACACUACGGGAACAGUUUGCCUCCCUCCCAGCCUCAACCACAAUUCUUCCAUGCUGGGGCUGAUGUGGGCUAGUAAGACUCCAGUUCUUAGAGGCGCUGUAGUAUUUUUUUUUUUUUGUCUCAUCCUUUGGAUACUUCUUUUAAGUGGGAGUCUCAGGCAACUCAAGUUUAGACCCUUACUCUUUUUGUUUGUUUUUUGAAACAGGAUCUUGCUCUGUCACCCAGGCUUGAGUGCAGUGGUGCGAUCACAGCCCAGUGCAGCCUCGACCACCUGUGCUCAAGCAAUCCUCCCAUCUCCAUCUCCCAAAGUGCUGGGAUGACAGGCGUGAGCCACAGCUCCCAGCCUAGGCCCUUAAUCUUGCUGUUAUUUUCCAUGGACUAAAGGUCUGGUCAUCUGAGCUCACGCUGGCUCACACAGCUCUAGGGGCCUGCUCCUCUAACUCACAGUGGGUUUUGUGAGGCUCUGUGGCCCAGAGCAGACCUGCAUAUCUGAGCAAAAAUAGCAAAAGCCUCUCUCAGCCCACUGGCCUGAAUCUACACUGGAAGCCAACUUGCUGGCACCCCCGCUCCCCAACCCUUCUUGCCUGGGUAGGAGAGGCUAAAGAUCACCCUAAAUUUACUCAUCUCUCUAGUGCUGCCUCACAUUGGGCCUCAGCAGCUCCCCAGCACCAAUUCACAGGUCACCCCUCUCUUCUUGCACUGUCCCCAAACUUGCUGUCAAUUCCGAGAUCUAAUCUCCCCCUACGCUCUGCCAGGAAUUCUUUCAGACCUCACUAGCACAAGCCCGGUUGCUCCUUGUCAGGAGAAUUUGUAGAUCAUUCUCACUUCAAAUUCCUGGGGCUGAUACUUCUCUCAUCUUGCACCCCAACCUCUGUAAAUAGAUUUACCGCAUUUACGGCUGCAUUCUGUAAGUGGGCAUGGUCUCCUAAUGGAGGAGUGUUCAUUGUAUAAUAAGUUAUUCACCUGAGUAUGCAAUAAAGAUGUGGUGGCCACUCUUUCAUGGUGGUGG
rnacentral:lncRNA from 1 species